ACCAUGAUGCCAAUUUAAACUAAUCCUGGUCUGUAUCCCUCCCUGCGCUGCCUGCUCCUGUGUCCGGCCUCCACCACCCCCCAACCCCCGGCGGCCCGUUCCAGGCACCCACCGCUCUCCGUGUAAAACACUUGCCCCUCACCCCUCCUCUCACGCUCCCCUCACCGUCAACCUCCGCCCUCCAGCACUUGACAUUUCCACCUAGCAAAACGGUGCCUCUCAUCAUUUUACACACUUCUAUCAGGUCUCCCCUCAGCCUCCGCCGCUCCAGGGAAAACCCAACUCUGUCCAACCUCUGACCCAGGCAGCGUCCUGCUGAACCUCACCUGCACCCUCUCCACAGCCCCCGCACCCUCCCUGUGACGGGACGACCACAACUGCACACAAUUCUCCAAAGCGACAAACUAACCGAGGCAGCCAGGGAGGUGGAGACCCCAGAGCCGGAGAGGUGGAGACCCCAUAACCAGGGAGGUGGAGACCCCAGAGACAGCAAGCUGGAGACCCCAUAACCAGGGAGCUGGAGACCUGGAGACUGCAGGCGCUGGGAUCUGGAGCAAAAAAACAAACUGCUGAGGGGACUCAGUGGGUCGGGCAGUGUCUGUGGGGGAAAUGGACUGUCGAGGUUUUGGAAUGAACCCCUUCAUCUGGACUGGAAUCAUUAGAUUUCCAUGUACUAGAGACUGGAAUUAGAGAACAGCCCUUUAUGUGCUUUCUGGGGCUGUGGUGGGGCAGAGUUGGCAGCUCUCCCCUCUCACUGACCUUGAGCCGAAGCCCACGGAUUGUGUUACUCGGGGCCAGAUGGCUGAGGAUGGACGUUUCCUCUCCUGAGGCCAUUCCUGGACCAGGUGGGUUGUUGACACAACCCAGGAAUCCCCUGGACCCCAACCCAGACUGACUGUUCUAAAUUCCCGGAUUAGUGAAAUAACUGAACUCAAAUCCCACAGCUGCCAUUUGGGAUUGGACCAUGCACCUCUGGAUUGGUCAACCAGGGCUCGGGAUUAACCACUCCAGUAGCAGGACCAGGUCACGGUGGUCACCACUCAGUAACAGUACCAGGUCACCAUGGUUACCAAAAACAAUCUGUGGGGGAACAGUAUCUGCAGAGGCAAAGGAAUGGCCGACAAUCCCCCGCACCCCCCCCCCCAGAAGGUUCUCAACCCACUGAGCUCCUCCAGCAGGUUGUUUGUUGCUCCAGAUUCCCGUGUCUGCAGUCCCUUGUGUCUACCAUGGUUAACAGUCCAGUAACAGCCCCAUACUUACCAUGGUUACCAGUCCAUUAACAGCCCCAUUGUUACCAUGGUUACCAGUCCAGUAACAGCCCCACAGUUACCAUGGUCAACGGGACUCCAGUUAUUUAUUUUCAGUUUUUCUGACAUCUUUCCACUGAAACACACUGGAAGGGUUGAAGGUCAUUGAAUGGAUUCCUAAAGCUUCCACCCGACACUUACUGGGGACCCUUCACCACCAGGGCAGGGAGAUGACCUGAGACCCUUCAGCACCAGGGCAGGGAGAUGUCCUGGGACCCUUCAGCACCAGGGCAGGGAGAUGUCCUGGGACCCUUCAGCACCAGGGCAGGGAGAUGUCCUGGGACCCUUCAGCACCAGGGCAGGGAGAUGUCUUGGGACCCUUCACCACCAGGAUAGGGAGAUGUCCUGGGACCCUUCAGCACCAGGGCAGGGAGAUGUCCUGGGACCCUUCAGCACCAGGGCAGGGAGAUGUCCUGGGACCCUUCAGCACCAGGGCAGGGAGAUGUCUUGGGACCCUUCACCACCAGGGCAGGGAGAUGUCCUGGGACCUUUCGCCACCAGGGCAGGGAGAUGACCUGGGACCCUUCACCACCAGCACAGGGAGUUGACUGGGACCCUUCAGCACCAGGACAGACAGAUGUCCUGGGACCCUUCACCACCAGGGCAGGGAGGUGACCUAGGACCCUUCACCACCAGGACAGGGAGAUGUCCUGGAACCCUUCACCACCAGGGCAGAGAGAUGUCCUGGGACCCUUCAGCACCAGGACAGAGAGAUGUCCUGGGACCCUUCGCCACCAGGGCAGGAAGGUGACCUGGGACCCUUCACCACCUGGACAGGGAGAUGUCCUGAGGCCCUUCAGUACCAGGGCGGGGAGUGUCCUGGGACCCUUCACCACCAGGACAGGGAGAUGUCCUGGGACCCUUCACUACCAGGACAGGGAGAUGUCCUGGGACCCUUCACCACCAGAGCAGGGAGAUGUCCUGAGACCCUUUGCCACCAGGGCAGGGAGAUGACCUGGGAACAUUCAGCACCAGGGCAGGGAGAUGACUGGGGCUCAGUGCUGACCAGGGCCCAGGGGGAUGCUGUGACAGACUUCCCCAGGGUGAGAUGCUGGAAGGCAGGUCUGGGUGAGUUAGGAUGAGUACAUGGACAGGAUUUAAAGUGUCUCUGGUCUUACAAUAGCGAAUGAGACUCCCAGGGGCAGUGUCCCAUCACAGAUCCUCCCCACCCAUUGAAUCCCCUCCCACAAUCUGUGUGCACCCCCAACACUUGCACCCUGAGGGAAAAUUGGGCGAGACUCAUUGAGGAAUUGGGCGUGGACGGACAGGGCUGGUCAGUUGGGUGACCGUCCAGUGGAGACAGUCCACAGCGCACACAUCGCCCUUUAAAGCCUCCCGUUAAGGUUAUUGCCAGUGCAAGACAUAAAAAUUACUAUACAUUACCAAAUAAAUAAAUAGUGCAAAAGGGGAAUAAUGAGGUAGUGUUCAUGGGUUCUGGACCGUUCAGAAAUCUGCUGGCGGAGGGGAAGAAGCUGAUCCUAAAAUGUUGAUUGUGGGUCUUCAGGCUCCUGUACAUCCUCCCCAAUGGUAGUAACAUGAAGAGGGCAUAAUACAUAAUAUGUUAUACAUCAAUUAACAAGACAGUGAAGAGCUGAGCUGAACUCUGGAAUAUUCACCCACCCUCCCACCUCAGCAUGUCCUCCCUGACACAGUGUGGAGGGAUAUCUCGAAGCCCCCAAUACCGGGCCACGAGCAGCCUAUCUCAGCCUCACACUCACGGUCCAUGCCCAACACCAGCAGGCCUUCCCCCAAGCGAACGUCACAGAGUUCAGCAUUCCCACCAAUCGUAACCGUACCUUUUCAGAACUUACUUUGGGCGCACGGUGUGGCACCUGUGUCUGUGACUGCCCAUCCCUGGCCAGUGUCCAUCCCUGGCUAGUGUCCAUCCUUGCCCAGCAUCCAUGCCUGCCCCGCGUCCAUCCCUGGCCAGUGUCCAUCCCUGCUCAUUGUCCAUCCCUGCCCGAGUGUCCAUCCCUGCCCAGCAUCCACCCCUGCCCAGUGUCCAUCCCUGGCCAAUGUCCAACCCUGCCCAGUGUCCAUCCCUGCCCAGUGUCCAUCUCUGGCCAAUGUCCAUCCCUGCCCAGUGUCCAUCCCUAGCCAUCACCCCAAGUGUGCACAGAGGCUCAGCUAUAGAGCCUGGUGCUUGGAGAGCCUAGCGGGCUAGACAAAGGCAGGGGAAAUGCUCACCCUUCUCUCGAGCUGUAAAUAUUACAAGACAGCAUUUUUAUCAGAAUAUUCUGAGCACAAAACCUGGGGCUGGGAGGGUGGGAAGGUAAACAGGUGACAAGGAAAACCGCUGGUAUGUGGGAGGCAGUGAUGCUGUCGCCUUUGUGUAAGAGAAGUAUAAAUAUAUAUAUAUAUGGAAUUUUCCUUCACUGAACUUCCAUGAUGUUUUUAUAUUAAACAAGAAAAGCUGAGGUUUUCUGGUGUUUUCUCUAACUCUGACCCCUGACCCAGCAUCUCCACCGUCAGAAACAUCGCCACAGAAAGACAAGUUUUGUACAAUGUGUGGGAUCCAGAGUGAAGUGUUGCAUUGAAGACUUUUCUCAAAGCCUCUUUAAGUUUUUUUUUGUGCAAUAAACAGGAGAAUAAUUACAGUUCAUUAAUAAAGGUGCAAUGCGGGUUUUAUAUUCAA